UAGGACAUAGCAUAAUGAAAUGUGUUUCGCUUACACUGAAAUGAUGCUUCUGAGCUGAAGCUGUCCUGA
rnacentral:tRNA from 1 species